CCCUCCCUCUGUCGGCAUGCCUAACACAUGCAAGUCGAACGAGACCUUCGGGUCUAGUGGCGCACGGGUGCGUAACGCGUGGGAACCUGCCCUUAGGUUCGGAAUAACUCCCCGAAAGGGGUGCUAAUACCGGAUAAUGUCUUCGGACCAAAGAUUUAUCGCCUUUGGAUGGGCCCGCGUUGGAUUAGCUAGUUGGUAGGGUAAAAGCCUACCAAGGCGACGAUCCAUAGCUGGUCUGAGAGGAUGAUCAGCCACACUGGGACUGAGACACGGCCCAGACUCCUACGGGAGGCAGCAGUGGGGAAUAUUGGACAAUGGGCGAAAGCCUGAUCCAGCAAUGCCGCGUGAGUGAUGAAGGCCUUAGGGCUGUAAAGCUCUUUUACCCGGGAUGAUAAUGACAGUACCGGGAGAAUAAGCUCCGGCUAACUCCGUG
rnacentral:rRNA from 1 species